CGUUCUGUAAGCCGUCGAAGGUGGACUGUGAGGUCUGCUGGAGGUAUCAGAAGUGCGAAUGCUGACAUAAGUAACGAUAAAGCGGGUGAAAAGCCCGCUCGCCGGAAGACCAAGGGUUCCUGUCCAACGUUAAUCGGGGCAGGGUGAGUCGACCCCUAAGGCGAGGCCGAAAGGCGUAGUCGAUGGGAAACAGGUUAAUAUUCCUGUACCGGGUGUUACUGCGAAGGGGGGACGGAGAAGGCUAUGUCGGCCGGGCGACGGUUGUCCCGGUUUAAGCGUGAAGGUGGGUGCUCCAGGCAAAUCCGGAGCACCGUUAACACUGAGGCGUGAUGACGAGGCACCACGGUGCUGAAGUGACAAAUGCCCUGCUUCCAGGAAAAGCCUCUAAGCAUCAGGUAACACCGGAUCGUACCCCAAACCGACACAGGUGGUCAGGUAGAGAAUACCAAGGCGCUUGAGAGAACUCGGGUGAAGGAACUAGGCAAAAUGGUGCCGUAACUUCGGGAGAAGGCACGCUGGCGCGUAGGUGAAGCGGUUAACCCGUGGAGCUGAAGCCAGUCGAAGAUACCAGCUGGCUGCAACUGUUUAUUAAAAACACAGCACUGUGC
rnacentral:rRNA from 1 species